rnacentral:rRNA from 1 species
AGUGAACGCUGGCGGUAGGCCUAACACAUGCAAGUCGAACGGCAGCACAGUAAGAGCUUGCUCUUACGGGUGGCGAGUGGCGGACGGGUGAGGAAUACAUCGGAAUCUACUUUUUCGUGGGGGAUAACGUAGGGAAACUUACGCUAAUACCGCAUACGACCUACGGGUGAAAGCAGGGGAUCUUCGGACCUUGCGCGAUUGAAUGAGCCGAUGUCGGAUUGGCUAGUUGGCGGGGUAAAGGCCCACCAAGGCGACGAUCCGUAGCUGGUCUGAGAGGAUGAUCAGCCACACUGGAACUGAGACACGGUCCAGACUCCUACGGAAGGCAGCGGUGGGGAAUAUUGGACAAUGGGCGCAAGCCUGAUCCAGCCAUACCGCGUGGGUAAAGAAGGCCUUCGGGUUGUAAAGCCCUUUUGUUGGGAAAGAAAAGCAGCAGGUUAAUACCCCGCUGUUCUGACGGUACCCAAAGAAUAGGCACCGGCUAACUUCGU